ACUGAACGCUGGCGGAAUGCUUUACACAUGCAAGUCGAACGGCAGCACGGACUUCGGUCUGGUGGCGAGUGGCGAACGGGUGAGUAAUGUAUCGGAACGUGCCCAGUCGUGGGGGAUAACGUAGUGAAAAUUACGCUAAUACCGCAUACGAUCUAUGGAUGAAAGCGGGGGAUCGCAAGACCUCGCGCGAUUGGAGCGGCCGAUAUCAGAUUAGGUAGUUGGUGGGGUAAAGGCCCACCAAGCCAACGAUCUGUAGCUGGUCUGAGAGGACGAGCAGCCACACUGGAACUGAGAAACGGUACAGACUCCUACGGGAGGCAGCAGUGGGGAAUUUUGGAGAAUGGGCGAAAGCCUGAUCCAGCCAUUCCGCGUGCAGGAUGAAGGCCCUCGGGUUGUAAUCUGCUUUUGUACAGAACGAAAAGGUUUCUACUAAUACUAGGAGCUCAUGACGGUACUGUAAGAAUAAGCACCGGCUAACUACGUGCCAGCCGCCGCCGUAA
rnacentral:rRNA from 1 species